rnacentral:rRNA from 1 species
CCCCUAGAUGUUCUGGGCCGCACGCGCGCUACACUGACGAAUGCAACGAGCUUAUAACCUUGGCCGAAAGGUCUGGGUAAUCUCCAAAUUUCGUCGUGAUGGGGAUAGAUUAUUGCAAUUAUUAAUCUUCAACGAGGAAUGCCUAGUAAGCGCAAGUCAUCAGCUUGCGUUGAUUACGUCCCUGCCCUUUGUACACACCGCCCGUCGCUCCUACCGAUUGAAUGGUCCGGUGAAGCCUCCGGAUUGGCGCGCACCUCGGUGCCGCCGAGAAGUUGGCUAAACCUUACCAUUUAGAGGAAGGUGAAGUCGUAACA